rnacentral:tRNA from 1 species
GGGGAUGUAGCUCAGUGGUAGAGCACUUGCCUAGCAUGUGUAAGGCCCUGGGUUCAAUACCCAGCACCACCA